UUGCUACGGAAUAACUCAGGGAAACUUGUGCUAAUACCGUAUGAGCCCUAAGGGGGAAAGAUUUAUCGGCAAAUGAUCGGCCCGCGUUGGAUUAGCUAGUUGGUGGGGUAAAGGCCUACCAAGGCGACGAUCCAUAGCUGGUCUGAGAGGAUGAUCAGCCACACUGGGACUGAGACACGGCCCAGACUCCUACGGGAGGCAGCAGUGGGGAAUAUUGGACAAUGGGCGCAAGCCUGAUCCAGCCAUGCCGCGUGAGUGAUGAAGGCCCUAGGGUUGUAAAGCUCUUUCACCGGUGAAGAUAAUGACGGUAACCGGAGAAGAAGCCCCGGCUAACUUCGUGCCAGCAGCCGCGGUAAUACGAAGGGGGCUAGCGUUGUUCGGAUUUACUGGGCGUAAAGCGCACGUAGGCGGGCUAAUAAGUCAGGGGUGAAAUCCCGGGGCUCAACCCCGGAACUGCCUUUGAUACUGUUAGUCUUGAGUAUGGUAGAGGUGAGUGGAAUUCCGAGUGUAGAGGUGAAAUUCGUAGAUAUUCGGAGGAACACCAGUGGCGAAAGGCGGCUCACUGGACCAUUACUGACGCUGAGGUGCGAAAGCGUGGGGGAGCAAACAGGAUUAGAUACCCUGGGUAGUCCACGCCGUAAACGAUGAAUGUUAGCCGUUGGGGGAGUUUACUCUCG
rnacentral:rRNA from 2 species